ACGAACGCUGGCGGCGUGCUUAACACAUGCAAGUCGAACGGUGAUGUCAGAGCUUGCUCUGGCGGAUCAGUGGCGAACGGGUGAGUAACACGUGAGUAACCUGCCCCCGACUCUGGGAUAACUGCUAGAAAUGGUAGCUAAUACCGGAUAUGACGAUUGGCCGCAUGGUCUGGUCGUGGAAAGAAUUUCGGUUGGGGAUGGACUCGCGGCCUAUCAGGUUGUUGGUGAGGUAAUGGCUCACCAAGCCUACGACGGGUAGCCG
rnacentral:rRNA from 3 species